rnacentral:tRNA from 1 species
UCUUCCUUGGUCUAGUGGUCAUGAUUUCCGCUUGUCAAACGCAAGUUAGCAAGCGCGGGAGACCGGGGUUCGAUUCCCCGAGGGAGAG